CAAUGGGAAGGAAAAAAUCAAAGUUUUAUCACUAUUGUCUAUUGGCUCUGGAGGUGAUUUUGCAGGGAAGGUUUUGUGGAAGUAUCAACAUAAUCUGGUUAAAGGAGACCUAAACUGGAGAAAUCAGUUUGCAGUGAUUCUGGCUUCUGUCAAUUAUGCCUUGAAAAAAGAUGAAAAUUCCGGUGGUAUUAUUACUUUAGUGCAGAUAACCAAAUCAGGUAUUCUUCCGUUCAGACAAUAUGAUUUUAUCUUACCAUUGGCAGUUCAUAUCAACCAAUUCAUAUCAGAGGGAAGGAGACAAGGAUCAAUCAGAGUUAGACAACAUGGACCACUCACUGUGAACUCUACAAAGAUCAGAGAAAUAUUUCCAAGGAGAAUCAAGAGAUUCAGAUUCUUCCCUAGAAAGACCAAGAGAUAUCUCAAAUCUUCAAAUUUCAAGAAAUUUCCAAUUAAAAUCAAGAGACUUGGGCGGCCUGUGAAGAUUAUGAGAUUCCUAGGAAUGACCAAAGCUGCUCCUGCUUCUUCAUAUGGUCUACUCUUCCUAACAGGUCUUUAUCACGUAGACCUUUGCGUCAAGAUAUUGGGAGAUGUACUUGAGUUAUAGUUAAGGAAACAACACCAUUAGAAGGACUUAGAGGAGCCCAAGAACGGAUGUAUGUGUAUAUUCAGGAAGGUCAAGGAAGACAAGAUACGAAACUAGCUGUUGCUGAUCAUCGAAGUCGAAACAGAAAGACGGAGUUUAUUAUAGUUCAGAAUGCUAAAGGGUUAUUGUGUAGAUCCGAUGGUAGCUAGGAAAUGUUAAUGCAAAUUUCAUGGGCUCUAAAUAUCAUAUAUGGAUAAGGGGAACUCAUUAGAUUCACUAAAGCAACAAUCCAAGUUACUUCUGGCUGUCGUAGCAUAAAUCUAUCAAAUUUACAUUUAUCGUGUAGGCAUACGAAGUUAAGUAUGUUCGUAAGUUUAAUCCCGACUUUUGUGUUUUCAAUCUGUUAUCUUGCAGGUUUGUCCCUACGAUAACAACAUGCACAGGAAGUUAUUGAAGCUUGAGGGCAUGGAUACCUAAGCAUCACUUGGCACAGUGGACAAAUGCAACUCAGGUGAAUUAUGGAAUUUAAGAGUAGAACAUAAUUCAUGUUCAAGAGACUAGUCAGUAGUCAAGACGAAUACUUCAUUGCUUUUACGAUAUUGAACAUGUUAAAGGGCUUCCAAAGGACUGGGAGGGUAAAAUGAGUAAAUUACAUCAGCUUUUCUCACAGAUUCCACAGUACAACCGGAUAUCCACUGAUGACUUACCAAGCUUUCUUUGCUUGCAAAAUCCGCAUGAAGGUUAUGUAGAGCGCAAGACAGUUUAUGGGGAAAAUCUUUAAAGGCCAAGUACUUCCCUAAUUCUUCUCCUCUCCAUAUAACUGGUACGAGCAACUCAACUUGGAGUUGGAAAAGAUUUCAUAAGAAACUAUAGCUUUUGGUCUCUCGGGGAUGGCAAGAAUAUUUCUUUUUGGCAGGACAAGUGGGUUCUUGGGUAUUUCUAGGGUAUCUGAUCUCAUAGAUCUCAGUAAUCGUAGUUGGAAGCAAUAUCUUGUACAAUCUUUUUUUGAUACAGAUACAACACAAAAGAUUGAGUAUGAGAAAAACUGGCAAGAUAAGCUUGUAAGGACAAGAACCAAGAAUGGUAGCUUUACAGUCAAGUCAGCCUAUCAAACUCUCUAUAACAUGAAAUAUCAUCAUGAUGAAAAUUUCCAAUACCAAAGUAACAAUCACUGGCAACGUAUUUGGAAACUGCAAAUUAUUCCAAGAAAAAAACUGUUUAUUUGGAAGUGCUUUAAAGACAUUCUACCUACCAAGGAAAGGAUUUGUAAACUGGAGACCUGCAUUGUGAUAGAUGCAAGUGAGUCUGAAUCACAAAAACAUAUUCUUCUAGAUUGCACCAUUGCAAGAGUAGUUUGGUUUAAAAAUAUAGGCAUAAGAGCUUCUGAAGUAAAUAAUGUCUCUGAAGAAUUGGUUGAUACAGUUGAUUGACAGUGAUGCUCUAAGUGAAAAAGUUAAGGCUAAAAUUGCAACUAUUUCCUGGAUGCUCUGGAAAGAAAGGCGUACAAUGGUUUUCGAGAAAGAGAUGGGUAAUCCAGAUAGUAUUAUCCGGAAGAUUGACAGGUUUUUACACUCAACUGCUAUUGCAGUUACUUCUAAACAGAAUUCUCAAGCCACAAAAACUAAUCAUUGUAGCAACAGGAGUAAUGUUUGGGAACCACCAGACUCUAGUCAAAUUAAAAUUACUCAUGUUGCUUCUUUCUGAAAAUCUACAGUACAUUGUGGUAUUGGACUACUAUUUUUGCAAUCUUGCAGGUGAGCAUAUUGGCUCCAGAUGUAUCAGCAUCACGGCAGCAGAUGAUGCAGAACAUGCAGAAUACCUAGCAGCUGAGGAAGCAAUCAAAUGAGCCACUAGUCAGAGAGACAGAAAAGAGUAAUAUUAGAAUCAGACUCCGACAACAUGGUGCAAGCAAUGAACAGCAAAACCUCAUCAGUAGCUUGGAAUAAUAGAGGAAUAAUAGAAGACAACUUUUUCUUGGAAAUAUUUUGAUUCCUGUUUUUUUAAGCACAUAAGGGUAGGCAAUAAACGUGCUGACAUUAUGGCUAAGUACGCCCGUCGAAAUAGGGGUAUUAUUGAAUGGUUAGAUAGUUCACCAGAUAUUAUCACGUCUGCUAUCUCUAGAGACAAUGUUUUAUUCUACUCUUAAUCAGUAAUAUUCUCUCUUUUGCAAUAACAAAAAAAGAUUCCAAGCUUUA